GACUGAGAACAGCUGACUCCAGAGCUCUUGCUCACGUGAUCUCUGUGGGUCCCCGUUAUGCUUCUUGUCCCCAGCCAGGGUGAGCACUUUCAGGGCCGCUUCUGUGAGGAGCAGCAGGUAGGCGCCUCCGUUCUGAAGGUCCACCAUCCGAACUGCUGGAGGGGACAUCGGACAGGCAGCCAAAUGAACGUGGCAAAUCAGCAGCACACUGGAGGGGAGAGGAGAGAUUAAUCAGUGACAGGAAGCUGCGUCUUGUUCAGAGCGGUGACCUGCUGUAGUCAGACAAAUCUUUGCAAGCCGGCCCCAGGAGUUUCUCCCACUUCCCGCCUGCUGCUCAUCCACCUGCUUCUGCCAUGAGGAGCCUUAGGGCCUUCCUCUUCCUAUUGGGGGUCCUGGGGGCUUUUGCCGACUUCUGUGUCAUACCACAGUUGGAUAGUCAGCUGGUGGAGAGGCUUGGCCAACAGCUGUUGCCCUGGAUGGACCAGCUCUCCAGGGAGCACCUGAACCCCAGCAUCUAUGUGGGCCUGCGCCUCUCCAGCCUGCAGGCUGGGACCAAGGAAGAUCUGUACCUGCACAGCCUCAAGCUUAGUUAUCAACGGUGCCUCCUGAGGCCUGCUACCAGCGAUGACAACAGUGACUGCCCAACCAAGCCUUCCAUGGGUCAGCUGGCCCUCUACAUGCUCGCUCUCAGGGCUAACUGCGAGUUCAUCAGGGGCCACAAGGGGGACAGGCUGGUCUCACAGCUCAAGUGGUUCUUGGAGGAUGAGAAUGGUGCCAUUGGGCACAAUCACAAAGGCCAUCCCCAUACCAGCUACUACCAGUAUGGCCUCAGCAUCCUGGCCCUGUGUGUCCACCAGAAGCUGGUUCGUGACGGCAUUGUAGGCAAGCUCCUGUAUGCUGUGGAACACGACCACCAGGACCAUCUCUCUGUGGACACAGUGGCCAUGGCAGGCUUGGCCUUUAUCUGCCUUGAGCGCUCUUCCUUCAACCCUGAUCUGAGACAGCGGAUCUCCACGGCUAUUGGGACAGUGCAGGAGAAGAUCCUGAAGGCCCAAACCCCUGAGGGCUACUUUGGGAAUGUCUACAGCACCCCACUGGCACUGCAGUUGCUGGUGUCUUCCCCCAUGUCUCGGGUGGAUCUGGGCACCGCAUGCCUUAAGGCAAGGGCAGCUCUGCUGGUCAACCUGCAGGAUAAAGCCUUACAGAAUCCUAUCAUAAUUUCCCAGCUGUUGCCUGUCUUGAACCACAAGACCUAUGUGAAUCUCAUCUUUCCAGACUGCCAAGCGCCAAGAGGGCUGCUGGGAGCAGCUCCUGAGGACUCCUCCUUGAUCCACGUCCCAGAGGUCAUCAGUGUAACACUGAAGGUCUCCAGCGUCUUGCCGCCCUACGAACAAACCAUCUCAGUGCUGGCCAAGUCCUCCUUGGAAGACAUUCUGAAGAAGGCCCAGGAGCUAGGGAAAUUCACGUGGGCGACUGCACUGAGUUCAGGAGCUACGUGGGAAGGACGUAUGGAACUCAGGCCUCCUUGUCUGGUCCCUUCCUGACCUCUGUGAUGGGGAAAGUACCUGGGGACCGAGAGUUCUGGCAGCUCCUCCGAGCUCCUGACACCCCUUUGCUGCAAGGUAUUGCUGAAUACAAACCACAGAAUGGAGAAACCAUCGAAAUAAGACUGGCUAGCUGGUAGCCAUGGGUCUUCUCACCCUAGCAGUCUCGCACACUCCCUGGGCUUCUGUCCCCUUCCUGACCCUGUAGUCGCCUCCUAGACUCUGGAGCAAUGUCCCAGAACACCUCAUCUACCACCUCUGCGAGGAUCUAAACCACAGCUCACACUGGAGCAGGGAGCCAAGCACCUCCCCUGGGAAGCCUGGCCCUGCAGGUGUCAUGAAGUCUGCCCCAAGGUCUGAAGGACCUGUGACUCUCCUCUCAGACUCCUCAGCAGAAGGAGGAGAGGAAGUCUGUCUGCUGCAGCAUCAUGAGUACCACUGCUCGGGGACUGAGCUCCUGCAAGGGGCCUCCAUGCCCCAGGGACUGCAGCCCUGACCCAAGGUCUCCACUCUGUUGUCACCAUAGUGGCCCUAGAGCUGGUUGUAGUUGCAGUGGCUGGUGAGGCCUCAGCAGGGUUGCUUGAUGCCUACUUCUGAAAUGAUUAAAGUCUUAAUUAUCUGA